rnacentral:misc_RNA from 1 species
UCCAGCUUAACGCUAGCAGUCCCUCUAGAGUGCCCAACUUAAUGAUGGCAACAAGAGGCGUGGGUUGCGCUCGUUACGGGACUUAACCCAACAUCUCACGACACGAGCUGACGACAGCCAUGCAGCACCUGUCUCUUUGUCCCCUUGCGGGGAAAACCGACUUUCGCCGGCGGUCAAAGGAUGUCAAGACCAGGAUAAGGUUCUUCGCGUUGCGUCGAAUUGAACCACAUGCUCCACUGCUUGUGCGGGUCCCCGUCAAUUUCUUUGAGUUUUAAUCUUGCGACCGUACUCCCCAGGCGGGAUGCUUAACGCGUUAGCUACGUCACUGAAAGGGUUAACACUUCCAACGACAAGCAUCCAUCGUUUACGGCGUGGACUAC